GCCAGCUGUGUCAGUUGGUAGAGCAUUCGACUCUUACAGGGUUUCCGUUAACUGGUAUCGAAUUGUCGUGGGUUCGAGCCCCACGUUGGGCG
rnacentral:tRNA from 1 species